rnacentral:lncRNA from 1 species
CCCCCUCAAUGUUCCAAAAGCUCAAGUGCUGAUGGGGGUCAGGGAGCAGCUGCCAAGGCCGGAAAGGAUGCGCACACACUCUGGGAAGCACAAUCCUAACAAAUUCUGCCUCUAUCAUCGUGACCACGGCCAUGACAUGGAGGAGUGUAUUUAGCUCCGAGACAAGAUCGAGGAGCUCAUCAGACGAGGUCGGCUUGACAAGUUCAUUCGACGUAGGCCUGAAGAUAGGAAAGAUCGGCCGAGGGCCCUGCCAC